AUACCCUAGUACACUUAAAUUUAAUUAUUAAGCACUAGAAUAUUAGAAGUUAUAUUCUUUAAAUUUAAAAAAUUUGGCGGUAUUUUAGUCUAGUUAGAGGAACCUGUUUUAUAAUCGAUAUACCACGCAUUAUUUUACUUGCCUUAGUGAGUCAGUUUGUAUACCGUCAUUAUAAGAUAAUUUAUGAGAAAAUAUUAUUGAAAUCAUAUUAUUGAGUAUAUUAGAUCAAGGUGCAGCUUAUGGGUAAGUAAACAUGGGUUACAAUAAAAUUUAUUUAAUAUCGAUUAAGUGUUUAAAUAUAUUUAUGAAGGAGGAUUUAAUUGUAAGGAGAGGAGUAGUGAGAUUUUCUGAU
rnacentral:rRNA from 1 species